GUAGGUGAACCUGCGGAAGGAUCAUUACUGAGUACGGGCUCUCUUCUUGCUGUUAAUUUAGUACAGAAGAAGUCAUUGUAUCUCCUACAACUCUGCAGUGCAUGGAGUCCUGAUUUCAGGUGUUUGUCUCACUAGACUCAGUCCAGCUAGGCAAACCUAUUCACUAUUCGUAACCCGAAUUAGUGAAUGGCUUCAUACUGUAAAAUCAACCAAGUCUAAGUAACUCUAGCUUGGGGAAAUGUGGCAAAAU
rnacentral:misc_RNA from 1 species